GACGAACGCUGGCGGCGUGCUUAACACAUGCAAGUCGAACGGAAAGGCCCUGCUUUUGUGGGGUGCUCGAGUGGCGAACGGGUGAGUAACACGUGAGUAACCUGCCCUUGACUUUGGGAUAACUUCAGGAAACUGGGGCUACUACCGGAUAGGAGCUCCUGCUGCAUGGUGGGGGUUGGAAAGUUUCGGCGGUUGGGGAUGGACUCGCGGCUUAUCAGCUUGUUGGUGGGGGAGUGGCUUACCAAGGCUUUGACGGGUAGCCGGCCUGAGAGGGUGACCGGCCACAUUGGGACUGAGAGACGGCCCAGACUCCUACGGGAGGCAGCAGUGGGGAAUAUUGCACAAUGGGCGGAAGCCUGAUGCAGCAACGCCGCGUGCGGGAUGACGGCCUUCGGGUUGUAAACCGCUUUCGCCUGUGACGAAGCGUGAGUGACGGUAAUGGGUAAAGAAGCACCGGCUAACUACGUG
rnacentral:rRNA from 1 species